rnacentral:lncRNA from 10 species
AAACCGAGGGAGGAGCCAAGAGGGCCGAAUAGGAACAGCUCCGUCUACAGCAACCAGCGUGAGCGACGCAGAAGACAGUGGCACAGGUAGCACUUGGCUUUAUUGACACACUGCUGAAGAGGACACAACUUCCUGAAGAAAAAGAGAGGCUAAAGAGAGUUUGUAGAUAAAUACUGCUUUUCAAUCUGAAUAAAAUUGCAUGAAGACUUGGAACAUACAUACUUAAAGGAAGUGUCUCUCUCCAUCACCCAGGCUGGAAUGCAGUGGCACAGUCAUAGCCUCAAACUCCUGAGCUUCAGAAAUCAUCCCCACUCAGCCUCAUGAAUAGCUGGAACUGCAGGACAAGAACUCAGGACCUGUAGAAUGGCAGGGCUAAAAGAGCUGUAACAUAAGCAGGGCUGGAACAUGCAACAUGCUUGCCGUGUUGCGGGUAAAGAGAAGAGCUGCGGCCCUUCUGGGACCCCAGACAUGGGAGCUCCCAGAGCCAGGGCUAUGACUCCCUCUUUGGGGCCCUGUGGUUCCUGGCAUCUCCAAGCUUUGGGCGCCAGUGCAUUCCCCAGUGCCAGACAUGGAAGCUGCUUGCAGUGUGCCUGAUCUAGCCACAGCCUCACAGAGACCUGGUGCCCAUGCCGGCACCUGGAGCUGCCCACCCAGUGGCAGCAGCUAGCAUGUCUGACUGCACAGUGACUGGAACCCACACUUGCUCUCACAUCCCUCCCUACUCCAUGCCUCAGUUGCCCUUGGCAGGCAUGAGAUCCAAGCUGGUAGCGUGAGCCAAGUGCAGCCUGCCAGGUCAGGUGGGUGGAAUGACACCAGUGGACCCUAAGCAAAACUCAGGCAAAGGCACCACUGGCCACAGAGAUUUUUGGCCAGAAAAGCAACACCCCAAAGAUCCCAUAACACUAAGUCUACCAAUUCAAAUGUUAAUCUCAUUCAGAAACACCCUCAAAGACCCAGAAUAAUGUUUGACCAAAUAUCUGACUACCUCAGGGCCCAUUCAGGUUGACACAUAAACUUAACUAUCCCAAGUUGACCACCCCUUG